rnacentral:rRNA from 1 species
GACGAACGCUGGCGGCGUGCCUAGUACAUGCAAGUCGAGCGGACGAAUCGAAAGCUUGCUUUUGAUUCGUUAGCGGCGGACGGGUGAGUAACACGUGGGCAACCUGCCCUGUAGACGGGGAUAACACCGAGAAAUCGGUGCUAAUACCGGAUAACACGAAAUGUCGCAUGACGUUUCGUUGAAAGACAGCGCAAGCUGUCGCUACAGGAUGGGCCCGCGGCGCAUUAGCUAGUUGGUGAGGUAACGGCUCACCAAGGCGACGAUGCGUAGCCGACCUGAGAGGGGGAUCGGCCACACUGGGACUGAGACACGGCCCAGACUCCUACGGGAGGCAGCAGUAGGGAAUCUUCAGCAAGGGACGAAAGUCUGACGGAGCAACGCCGCGUGAGCGAAGAAGGCCUUCGGGUCGUAAAGCUCUGUUGUUAGGGAAGAACAAGUAACGCAGUAACUGGCGUUACCGUGACGGUACCUAACGAGAAAGCCACGGCUAACUACGUGCCAGCCGCCGCAGUAA